rnacentral:rRNA from 1 species
AUUGAACGCUGGCGGCAGGCCUAACACAUGCAAGUCGAGCGGAUGACGGGAGCUUGCUCCUUGAUUCAGCGGCGGACGGGUGAGUAAUGCCUAGGAAUCUGCCUGGUAGUGGGGGACGACGUUUCGAAAGGAACGCUAAUACCGCAUACGUCCUACGGGAGAAAGCAGGGGACCUUCGGGCCUUGCGCUAUCAGAUGAGCCUAGGUCGGAUUAGCUAGUUGGUGGGGUAAUGGCUCACCAAGGCGACGAUCCGUAACUGGUCUGAGAGGAUGAUCAGUCACACUGGAACUGAGACACGGUCCAGACUCCUACGGGAGGCAGCAGUGGGGAAUAUUGGACAAUGGGCGAAAGCCUGAUCCAGCCAUGCAGCGUGUGUGAAGAAGGUCUUCGGAUUGUAAAGCACUUUAAGUUGGGAGGAAGGGCAGUAAGUUAAUACCUUGCUGUUUUGACGUUACCGACAGAAUAAGCACCGGCUAACUCUGUGCCAGCAGCAGCCGCCG